UACGGAGGGUGCUAGCGUUAUCCGGAAUCACUGGGCGUAAAGGGCGCGUAGGCGGUCUGUUAAGUCUGAUGUUAAAGACUGGGGCUCAACCCCAGCAAUGCGUUGGAUACUGGCAGACUCGACGGUUGGAGAGGCGAGUGGAAUUACCAGUGUAGCGGUGGAAUGCGUAGAUACUGGUAGGAACACCCAUUGCGAAGGCAGCUCGCUGGACAACACGUGACGCUGAGGCGCGAAAGUGUGGGGAGCAAAC
rnacentral:rRNA from 1 species